GACUAGGAGCAGGAAAAACACAGAAAAUCCAUCCAUCUCAAUGGUAUUUCACAUCUAAGACUUAACCCACAAAUAAUGACUUACCCCUGGCACCUUCCAGACAUACUGAUGUUACGAAUGAAUUAACCAAGGAACAAAAUGCUUCACUGCCAACUGAGAGCUAAGCCUUGAAGUUUAGUGCUACUACUGCUAACAUAUUUCAGUUGGAUCUCAAACCAUGGUAUGAAGAGGAACUGAUACCAGCGAAGGAGACGCAUUUCUUGUCAAGAAAGAGUCUCACGAUUCCUUUGCUCCAAGGAAAUUUGAAUAAAGGAACACUUUGUUUGGAAAUGUGCCUAUUCUACUUGGACAGAGUUAAAAAAUGAGUCGAGGAAAGCAAACAGAGCUAGAAAACAUUGCAAAGAAAACUGUACUUUUGUAACUAAAAAUUCAAGUUUUUAAAAUUUCCCAUGGGACUUUUUGACCAUCCAUCCUUACUGGGACAUUACUUUUGCACUUUACCCCUGAAACUCUUGCAGGACAAGGAGUUUGUUGUGCUUGAAUGGUAUGGAUCUGCUUGUGCUUUCCAGUGGCUCCCUUGGUGAUUAUUGAGAUGUUUGUGCCUUGGGGCUGGAGCACUUGCAUGACAGCACUUCUAGGCUGGAGCUCAUUCAGGUGCUGGUUCUGCCAUAGAUUUUGGGUAUGGCACGGACCCCAAAUUCCUGGGUCUGUGCCACUUCACAGCCCAGGGGCUCUUGGGUUGUGCUUAUGGUCCCUGUGGAGUUCUGUGGGUAACAGUUGUUCUGCUUUAAAAAUGAUGAUGGGAGCAGUUUGACGUAGCAAGGAGCUGCAGAACAGAUCAGGAUCCUCUGACAAAAAUUUGUGGGCAGAGGAGAGGUUGGUGUUUGCUGCAUGAGCUGUCUGUGGUCACUGCUCUUGUCUUCUGUUAUUGCAGGCAGCUACGUGUCAGGUUUUACCUUCAGCAUCCCCGCCUGCCUGAGUUGUGCGCAUACACUUAUUAAAUGAUGGUGUGCAUUUGUA